UACGUAGGUGACAAGCGUUGUCCGGAUUUACUGGGCGUAAAGAGCGCGCAGGCGGUCGUUCAAGUCGAGUGUGAAAGCCCCCGGCUCAACUGGGGAGGGUCAUUCGAUACUGUUCGACUCGAAGGCAGGAGAGGGAAGUGGAAUUCCCGGUGUAGCGGUGAAAUGCGUAGAUAUCAGGAGGAACACCUGCGGUGUAGACGGCUUACUGGACCAUAACUGACGCUGAGGCACGAAAGCGUGGGUAGCAAACAGG
rnacentral:rRNA from 1 species